rnacentral:rRNA from 1 species
CAGCCGCCGCGGUAAUACGUAGGUGGCAAGCGUUGUCCGGAAUUAUUGGGCGUAAAGCGCGCGCAGGCGGAUCGGUCAGUCUGUCUUAAAAGUUCGGGGCUUAACCCCGUGAUGGGAUGGAAACUGCCAAUCUAGAGUAUCGGAGAGGAAAGUGGAAUUCCUAGUGUAGCGGUGAAAUGCGUAGAUAUUAGGAAGAACACCAGUGGCGAAGGCGACUUUCUGGACGAAAACUGACGCUGAGGCGCGAAAGCCAGGGGAGCGAACGGGAUUAGAUACCCCAGUAGUCCCUGUCUCUUAUACA